UACGUAGGGGGCUAGCGUUGUCCGGAAUCAUUGGGCGUAAAGCGCGUGUAGGCGGUCCGGUAAGUCCGCUGUGAAAGUCGGGGGCUCAACCCUCGGAUGCCGGUGGAUACUGUCGGGCUUGAGUACGGAAGAGGCGAGUGGAAUUCCUGGUGUAGCGGUGAAAUGCGCAGAUAUCAGGAGGAACACCAAUUGCGAAGGCAGCUCGCUGGGACGUUACUGACACUGAGGCGCGAAAGCGUGGGGAGCGAACAGGA
rnacentral:rRNA from 1 species